UCCACGCCGUAAACGAUGUCUACUAGGUAGUGGAGGUUCUGACGCCUGCACUGCCGAAGCAAAAGUGUUAAGUAGACCGCCUGGGGAGUACGGUCGCAAGGCUAAAACUCAAAGGAAUUGACGGGGGCUCACACAAGCGGUGGAGCAUGUGGAUUAAUUCGAAGCAACGCGCAGAACCUUACCUGGGUUUGACAUGCUUGGAUGCCAAUCUGGAAACAGAGGAAGCUGCCUUCGGGUGAAACUUGCACAGGUGCUGCAUGGCUGUCGUCAGCUCGUGUCGUGAGAUGUUGGGUUAAGUCC
rnacentral:rRNA from 1 species